UACAGAGGUCUCAAGCGUUGUUCGGAUUCAUUGGGCGUAAAGGGUGCGUAGGCGGCGCGGUAAGUCGGGUGUGAAAUCUCGGAGCUUAACUCCGAAACUGCAUUCGAUACUGCCGUGCUUGAGGACUGGAGAGGAGACUGGAAUUUACGGUGUAGCGGUGAAAUGCGUAGAUAUCGUAAGGAAGACCAGUGGCGAAGGCGGGUCUCUGGACAGUUCCUGACGCUGAGGCACGAAAGGUCAGGGGAGCAAACGGG
rnacentral:rRNA from 1 species